GUCCUAGCUUCGACUGGACAUAUACUAAAAUUGGAACGAUACAGAGAAGAUUAGCAUAGCCCCUGCAUAAAACAAGACGCUAGGAAAUACAUUAUGAAUUAAU
rnacentral:snRNA from 1 species